rnacentral:rRNA from 1 species
AAAUGAAUAGACGGGGGCCCGCACAAGCGGAGGAACAUGUGGUUUAAUUCGAUGAUACGCGAGGAACCUUACCCGGGCUCGAACGGUGCAUGAAUGGACAAGAGAUUGUUCAGACCUUAGGGACAUGUAUCGAGGUGCUGCAUGGUUGUCGUCAGCUCGUGCCGUGAGGUGUCGGCUUAAGUGCCAUAACGAGCGCAACCCUUGUCAUUAGUUACCAUCAGGUAGAGCUGGGGACUCUAAUGAGACUGCCACCGUAAGGUGAGAGGAAGGGGGGGAUGACGUCAAAUCAGCACGGCCCUUAUGUCCGGGGCGACACACGUGUUACAAUGGGGGGUACAGAGGGCAGCCAUCCGGCGACGGAGCGCCAAUCUCAAAAACCCUUCUCAGUUCGGAUUGGAGUCUGCAACUCGACUCCAUGAAGUUGGAUUCGCUAGUAAUCGCGCAUCAGCCAUGGCGCGGUGAAUACGUUCCCGGGCCUUGUACACACCGCCCGU